UGGGUAGUCCGUACGAGCGCACCCUAUCCUUAGUUGCCAGCGAGUAUGUCGGGAACUCUAUGGAGACUGCCGGUGACAAACCGGAGGAAGGUGGGGACGACGUCAAGUCAUCAUGGCCCUUAUGGCCAGGGCUACACACGUGCUACAAUGGCCGGCACAGAGGGCUGCGAAGUCGCAAGGCGGAGCGAAUCUCAAAAAACCGGUCGUAGUCCGGAUGGCAGUCUGCAACUCGACUGCAUGAAGUUGGAAUCGCUAGUAAUCGCGGAUCAGAAUGCCGCGGUGAAUACGUUCCCGGGCCUUGUACACACCGCCCGUCACACCAUGGGAGUGGGCUGUACCAGAAGUAGGUAGUCUAACCUUCGGGGGGACGCUUACCACGGUGUGGUUCAUGACUGGGGUGAAGUCGUAACAAGGUAGCCCUAGGGGAACCUGGGGCUGGAUCACCUCCUU
rnacentral:rRNA from 1 species